rnacentral:rRNA from 1 species
GAUGAACGCUGGCGGCGUGCCUAAUACAUGCAAGUCGAGCGAACGGACGAGAAGCUUGCUUCUCUGAUGUUAGCGGCGGACGGGUGAGUAACACGUGGAUAACCUACCUAUAAGACUGGGAUAACUUCGGGAAACCGGAGCUAAUACCGGAUAAUAUUUUGAACCGCAUGGUUCAAAAGUGAAAGACGGCCUUGCUGUCACUUAUAGAUGGAUCCGCGCUGCAUUAGCUAGUUGGUAAGGUAACGGCUUACCAAGGCAACGAUGCAUAGCCGACCUGAGAGGGUGAUCGGCCACACUGGAACUGAGACACGGUCCAGACUCCUACGGGAGGCAGCAGUAGGGAAUCUUCCGCAAUGGGCGAAAGCCUGACGGAGCAACGCCGCGUGAGUGAUGAAGGUCUUCGGAUCGUAAAACUCUGUUAUUAGGGAAGAACAUAUGUGUAAGUAACUGUGCACAUCUUGACGGUACCUAAUCAGAAAGCCACGGCUAACUACGUGCCAGCAGCCGCGGUAAUACGUAGGUGGCAAGCGUUAUCCGGAAUUAUUGGGCGUAAAGCGCGCGUAGGCGGUUUUUUAAGUCUGAUGUGAAAGCCCACGGCUCAACCGUGGAGGGUCAUUGGAAACUGGAAAACUUGAGUGCAGAAGAGGAAAGUGGAAUUCCAUGUGUAGCGGUGAAAUGCGCAGAGAUAUGGAGGAACACCAGUGGCGAAGGCGACUUUCUGGUCUGUAACUGACGCUGAUGUGCGAAAGCGUGGGGAUCAAACAGGAUUAGAUACCCUGGUAGUCCACGCCGUAAACGAUGAGUGCUAAGUGUUAGGGGGUUUCCGCCCCUUAGUGCUGCAGCUAACGCAUUAAGCACUCCGCCUGGGGAGUACGACCGCAAGGUUGAAACUCAAAGGAAUUGACGGGGACCCGCACAAGCGGUGGAGCAUGUGGUUUAAUUCGAAGCAACGCGAAGAACCUUACCAAAUCUUGACCUCCUUUGACAACUCUAGAGAUAGAGCCUUCCCCUUCGGGGGGCAAAGUGACAGGUGGUGCAUGGUUGUCGUCAGCUCGUGUCGUGAGAUGUUGGGUUAAGUCCCGCAACGAGCGCAACCCUUAAGCUUAGUUGCCAUCAUUAAGUUGGGCACUCUAAGUUGACUGCCGGUGACAAACCGGAGGAAGGUGGGGAUGACGUCAAAUCAUCAUGCCCCUUAUGAUUUGGGCUACACACGUGCUACAAUGGACAAUACAAAGGGCAGCGAAACCGCGAGGUCAAGCAAAUCCCAUAAAGUUGUUCUCAGUUCGGAUUGUAGUCUGCAACUCGACUACAUGAAGCUGGAAUCGCUAGUAAUCGUAGAUCAGCAUGCUACGGUGAAUACGUUCCCGGGUCU